rnacentral:rRNA from 1 species
CAGCAGCCGCGGUAAGACGAACCGUGCGAACGUUAUUCGGAAUCACUGGGCUUAAAGCGCGUGUAGGCGGAUGGGAGCGUCGGCCUCUGAAAUCCCCCGGCUCAACCGGGGAAGUGGAGCCGAAACGACCCGUCUGGAGGGACGUAGGGGGACCUGGAACUUCCGGUGGAGCGGUGAAAUGCGUUGAGAUCGGAAGGAACGCCCGUGGCGAAAGCGAGGUCCUGGACGUCUGCUGACGCUGAGACGCGAAAGCCAGGGGGGCGAACGGGAUUAGAUACCCCAGUAGUCCCUGUCUCUUAUU